rnacentral:tRNA from 1 species
GCGCCCGUAGCUCAGUUGGUAGAGCACUCCCCUUUUAAGGGAGUUGUCAUGAGUUCGAGCCUCAUCGGGCGUGCCA